UCCUAUUUAAGAGAUUAACUCUUUUAAACCAAAUAUUUAUAGUUACUAAUAUUUUUUUUUUUGCAAACCUUUGUAGUUUAUAAAGCAAAUUCACAUGCUUUCACAUCUUUUCAUUUAUCUUUUACUUAAAAUAGGGGCUGGUUUCUUCAUAAAGAAAUUAAUAGUAAUAAUGCCAACUACUGAAAUAAGGAUAAUGGUUUUGCUAGGACAGGUUUUAGUGCCUAAUCUUUUGACUCCAGUUGGAGUUUUCUCAGACAACAAAGCUUUAUCUUUCUCACUGAAGUAACUUGGUUGUUUUGGUUUCUUCUUUAAAUUCAAAUGUUGCUUUCUUGGUCAGCCAAUCAGAGAUAUCCUCUGAAUUGCAGUGUAAUGACAGACGGUUUGUGGUUAGAUAACUCCUGUUUGAGAAAACCUACAAGAAGGCCACACCUCUAGAAGAGCUGCUCCAUGAAGCAGAGCAUCAUGAAGGUGCUCACUAGGAGCUCUGCAGCCUGACACACUCCACUAAUGUCAGUGCCCCCCACGAGGAGAAUGGACAGGAGAUGACUCAGAGCUGCCUUUACGGCCAGUCUGCACCACUGGCUCCAUCCUUACAGGAGAAAUUCCUGACCUCAGGAUUUCCUUUAAGGACAUGGGACAAAAGAGUUCAAAAGAUCUUCGUAACAAUUAGUCACUGCCAGCACUAAGCAGCUAUAAUUUCUAAGAACAUGUUCAGCUCGAAGGUUCGGUGAUUCUACCCAUUUUACCCAGGAAAAUUACUAAUGAGAGUUUCAAAGCAAUGGCUCACAGCCUCUGCCCUGAGUUGUGAAAAUAACAUGCCCAAGUCUCCAUGAGAAAGAAAAGUCACGUAUGGUGACACACGCCUAUAAUUUACUCUGAGACACCAAGGUAAGAAAUAUCCUCCUCAAACAGCAAGGUUAGGGGGAGCUUCAGUCACAUCUUAGGAGGGUCUCGCCCUUCUCCAAAGCCAUCUAUAAGACCACGGCUGUCCAGUCCACAGAGACAUGGACCAGGUCCAGGUGGCUAGUGUUUCUCAUUCCUGGGGCCCUCUUCGUGCCCCAUGAAACAUAUUGUGUCUCAUCAGAGGUCUGGCUGCCAGGGGUCACUGCUUGCUCUGAGUUCUCAUUGAAUCAACCACCUACCUAUUUCCUCCAGUUCUAGGAGAUAUCACCUUUGCUGGGGUAGAGUAGAGCACACCUGUGUCUCACACUAAACUAUUUCUUUGCCCUUGACAUUUGAGAAGCCCUUGGUCCCCAGCACUAUUUUCUUCUUGAAUGGCAAAAGGAAAAUUGUCUCUCAAGAAAAUAAGGCCUGCUGGGCUGGGAAUGAAGCUCAGCAGCAUAAGCGCCUGCCUGGCAAGGGCAAGGUCCUGAGUUCAAGUACCCGUACCAAAAAAAAAGAAAAGAAAAGAAAAGAAAAGAAGCCCUGCUGUGCACCAGGUACUUUGUUACAUAGUUCUUAAAGCUAUUUUAUUUACAAGACUCUUCGCCUACUUUAUGGAGGAGAGCUAGCAAACCAUGACACACUAUAGGAGUGAAAAGUAAUGGUAAAAACACGGCAAGUGACUCCUCUGUGCUCGUCACUUUGCAAGCUUUGACUUCUGCCCACAUCCCCCACAAUGAUGUGCUGUUCACCCUUUUACCCGGAAGGCAGCAGAGAAGUGAAAUAACCCACCCAGGUCUAAGCUAUCAAGCCUUAGAGCCAGAAUCUGAACCCAGCCAGUCUUGGCCUUACAAC